CAUGUCUUUUUGAUUAUAAUUUAAAGUCUGACCUGCCCACUGAGAAAUUAAAUGGCCGCAAUAUUUUGAUUGUGCAAAGGUAGCAUAAUAAUUAGUUUUUUAAUUGAGAACUGGUAUGAAUGGUUGAACGAGAAAAAGACUGUCUCAUUUUAAUUUAAUUAGAAUUUUAUCUUUAAGUUAAAAAGCUUAAAUAUAUUUAAAAGACGAGAAGACCCUAUAGAGUUUAAUAAAAUUAAAAUUUUUAAUAAUUAAAGAAUUUUAUCUAUUAUUUAUUUAAAUUUUAUUUGAUUGGGGUGAUUAAAAAAUUUAAAUAACUUUUUUUAAAAAUUUAACAUUAAUUUAUGAUUGUUUGAUCCAUAUUUUAUGAUUAAAAGAUUAAAUUACCUUAGGGAUAACAGCGUAAUUUUUUUUAAGAGUUCUUAUCGAAAAAAAAGAUUGCGACC
rnacentral:rRNA from 1 species